UACAGAGGGUGCGAGCGUUAAUCGGAAUUACUGGGCGUAAAGCGCACGUAGUCGGCUUUGCAAGUCGGGUGUGAAAUCCCCGGGCUCAACCUGGGAACUGCAUCCGAGACUGCAUUGCUAGAGUAUGGGAGAGGGAAGCGGAAUUUCUGGUGUAGCAGUGAAAUGCGUAGAUAUCAGAAGGAACAUCAGUGGCGAAGGCGGCUUCCUGGACCAAUACUGACGAUCAGGUGCGAAAGCGUGGGGGAGCAAACAGG
rnacentral:rRNA from 1 species